rnacentral:rRNA from 1 species
GACGAACGCUGGCGGCGUGCCUAAUACAUGCAAGUAGAACGCACAGUUUAUACCGUAGCUUGCUACACCAUAGACUGUGAGUUGCGAACGGGUGAGUAACGCGUAGGUAACCUGCCUGGUAGCGGGGGAUAACUAUUGGAAACGAUAGCUAAUACCGCAUAAUAUUAAUUAUUGCAUGAUAAUUAAUUGAAAGGUGCAAUUGCACCACUACCAGAUGGACCUGCGUUGUAUUAGCUAGUAGGUGAGGUAACGGCUCACCUAGGCGACGAUACAUAGCCGACCUGAGAGGGUGAUCGGCCACACUGGGACUGAGACACGGCCCAGACUCCUACGGGAGGCAGCAGUAGGGAAUCUUCGGCAAUGGACGAAAGUCUGACCGAGCAACGCCGCGUGAGUGAAGAAGGGUGUCGGAUCGUAAAGCUCUGUUGUAAGAGAAGAACGGGUGUGAGAGUGGAAAGUUCACACUGUGACGGUAGCUUACCAGAAAGGGACGGCUAACUACGUG